AUGAAAAAUUGUUCCAAACCCAGAAAUCACUUAAUUCUAAACCGACUUAUCGACAUCCAUACCAAAUUAUUAAUGACAAAACAAGCUAAAUUUACUUUAAAAGCAAUUAAUUCAAUAAGCUAUUUUUUUCAAAUGAAGAAAAAUCAAGAUGAGAAAGCAUACAAACAUAUGUUUGGAAAAGGAAAGGAAGUUACCUUAAAAAAAUUUCAGCGCCGACUAUUGAGAAAUUUGUGUCCGUUCAAACUAAGGUUAUGA